CUUGAUUUUAAACAUUAGCUUUAAUACAAUUUUUAUAUCUGUUCUUAUCAGUUUAAUAUCUGAUACAUCUUCUAUUAUAGGACUAUAUAUUAAAUGGAUUAUUGGAACAGGGAGAUGGAAUAGGAGCUUGCUCCAUCCACUCCUUGCAUCUAUCUGGUAUUGCAGUAUCACCAGGAAUGGUGCACCUCCC
ensembl:snRNA U2 U2 spliceosomal RNA